ACCAGAUAAACUGUCCAGGACGGAGCUUGCGUCUGGAAGCCCUGUCUCUCAGCAAAUAACACUUCCUCCACCACCUGCAUGUACGUUUUUUUAAUAUAUAUAUAUUUUUUCUAAUAUAACAGAAUAGGUUUAUAUUUUGUAAUGGCAUGUGCAGGCAACCUAUCAACUUCAUCUUAUAUAAUAAUCAUAUGUAAUUUAUUUGUAUCUGUAUCAACGCCAUGCAGGAAACCAGCUGGUUGCCCAGAGCAGGAUGAGUCUUUAGUGACCCUACCACGGACUGCCACUUCAUCUUGGGACCCAGUUGAAGAAGAACUCACACAGAGGGAGGUGUCUCAGACAUGGAGAUCAAAAUGAGAGCAACUUUUCCUGUCAACUCUCGGUGGUUGUACUGGAGGUGAU